GACGAACGCUGGCGGCGUGCCUAAUACAUGCAAGUAGAACGCUGAAGGAGGAGCUUGCUUCUCUGGAUGAGUUGCGAACGGGUGAGUAACGCGUAGGUAACCUGCCUGGUAGCGGGGGAUAACUAUUGGAAACGAUAGCUAAUACCGCAUAAGAGUAGAUGUUGCAUGACAUUUGCUUAAAAGGUGCAAUUGCAUCACUACCAGAUGGACCUGCGUUGUAUUAGCUAGUUGGUGGGGUAACGGCUCACCAAGGCGACGAUACAUAGCCGACCUGAGAGGGGGAUCGGCCACACUGGGACUGAGACACGGCCCAGACUCCUACGGGAGGCAGCAGUAGGGAAUCUUCGGCAAUGGACGGAAGUCUGACCGAGCAACGCCGCGUGAGUGAAGAAGGUUUUCGGAUCGUAAAGCUCUGUUGUAAGAGAAGAAAGAGUGUGAGAGUGGAAAGUUCACACUGUGACGGUAUCUUACCAGAAAGGGACGGCUAACUACGUG
rnacentral:rRNA from 1 species